ACCUGAAUGGCUCAGUCGGUGGAGCGUCUGACUUCGGCUCAGGUCAUGAUCUCAGGGCUCAUGGAUUCGAGGCCCAUGUCAGGCU
rnacentral:tRNA from 1 species